rnacentral:rRNA from 1 species
UAGGGAAUCUUCGGCAAUGGACGAAAGUCUGACCGAGCAACGCCGCGUGAGUGAAGAAGGUUUUCGGAUCGUAAAACUCUGUUGUUAGAGAAGAACAAGGACGUUAGUAACUGAACGUCCCCUGACGGUAUCUAACCAGAAAGCCACGGCUAACUACGUGCCAGCAGCCGCGGUAAUACGUAGGUGGCAAGCGUUGUCCGGAUUUAUUGGGCGUAAAGCGAGCGCAGGCGGUUUCUUAAGUCAGAUGUGAAAGCCCCCGGCUCAACCGGGGAGGGUCAUUGGAAACUGGGAGACUUAAGUGCAGAAGAGGAGAGUGGAAUUCCAUGUGUAGCGGUGAAAUGCGUAGAUAUAUGGAGGAACACCAGUGGCGAAGGCGGCUCUCUGGUCUGUAACUGACGCUGAGGCUCGAAAGCGUGGGGAGCAAACAGG